rnacentral:rRNA from 1 species
UGGCGACCGGCGCACGGGUGAGUAACGCGUAUGCAACUUACCUAUCAGGAGGGGAUAGCCCGGCGAAAGUCGGAUUAAUACCCCAUGAAACAGGGGUCCCGCAUGGGAAUAUUUGUUAAAGAUUCAUCGCUGAUAGAUAGGCAUGCGUUCCAUUAGGCAGUUGGCGGGGUAACGGCCCACCAAACCGACGAUGGAUAGGGGUUCUGAGAGGAAGGUCCCCCACAUUGGAACUGAGACACGGUCCAA